GUAGUUCUCUACCAAAAUUCUCAAUCUGGUCUAUCAUCUCCUUGAACAAGCUGAGUACAGCUGUUUUAAAGCCUGUGUCUGAAGUUGGCAACCGUUGUCCAUCUGUGUUUUAUAGGAGAUUGUUUCUUCUCAUCUUAACUCAGGAAACUAUUAUUCAUUGUGUGCAGAACAGUGAAUUGUAAAUGAAGAACCUGAGCCCUCGACCCUCAGAGGUAUCCCACAGUCCCACCGAGCUCCUCCUCGCAGCUUCCUCCUCCAGCAUCAGCACAGGGCCAGAUGAAGAAACCUAGUUUCAAGUGAGGUUCAGAAACUUGUCCAUGAUCAAUCACAAGCUUCAUAAAUUGGAGAGCAAGUCUAAAUAAGCUUCAUCUGAUACAAAGUUUAGGCUUUGAAAUCCUAAAAUAAACAAGCAUUUUAAGACCUUU